GUUUAUGGGUGAUCAAGAAGGCCCAUUGCCUAGGUUGGUAACCUCCAUUGCACUUGGGAGGGGUGCCCGCCUAACAUCUCCCCAAGUGGGAGAGUGUACGUCAUAAUUUGUGGCAGAGGGGGUACGCGUUCGCGCGGCCCCUACCAUUCUUAGUUAAAUUUUAGUUCUUAAUAAUUAAUAAUAUUCAAUCCGUGAUUGUGAGUAAAUCGUCAUAAAAAGAUGAAUUUCGCCUAUGGGUUCUGUAACGGUAUUGCAUCCGUGGUGAAGUCACUGUGGGAGAAGAAAUCAGGUUUAGUUUGGGGAUUCAUUCUCGCAGUUUUUAUGAAGCCAACGGAAUCCAUUGGAACUAGUGGCUGGAAGCUGUGAAUGUAGAAUUGGGUCGAUGGAUAGUGAUGAGAUUAAGAAAGAAAACAGCAGUUGUUCGAAUUGGAGCUCUGGAGACCUUCCCGAAUGAUGGUUCCAUGAGAUGGGAGAAAAUUGCAGCCGCAGUUCUCGGUAAAUCAAAGGCGUCUUGUAUGAAGAGAGUCGUAUGAAAAUUUGGGGAAUUUGCUCAGUUUCAUUUUCUUUCUACGAUAUUUAUGAGGUUGAGUUUGUUGUUGUUGUUGUUGUUGUUGUUGUUGGCUUGCUACCAAGCGUCGGCUAGGUAGUUUUGUUCAUGUUGAUAAUUUUUGAACAUUCACUUAGUUGGGGUUCUGUGGAAUGUGAUUUGGCAGAAAGCAUUUGAGAGGCACAUGCAAGAAUGCUUGUGUAAGUACUGCAUGGAGUUUUGGAACAGGGAUUCGAAGAGCUAGACAUCUGGACCAAUAUUGGAGAUUUCACUAGCUGGUUUGCUGAGAAUCAUUUAGAGCAGUGGCCAUGGGAAGUGUUUCCACUUUUGUUACAGAUACAUCAAUGUUUUAGUGUUUCCCAUAUGUAAAUAUUAGCACACAAACUUCUCAUGACCCAAAAAGAAAAAAAGCACUGGCGCAUAGCAAUCAACUUUGGUUUCUGGGGUUCAGGCCAAUCCA